AGGAGCUGGAUGAGAAGAAACUCUCACGUUCAGUUCUAUAGUAGAGAUGGAAUUUCUAAUUUAGAACCAUCAACUAUAAC
rnacentral:ncRNA from 1 species